UCCAGUAGCUAGAGGAAAUAGACUGGCAGACCAGACUGCAAAAACUGUUGCCACUGAGCCAAUCUCAGCCCUACCCCUGGAAAUAAACUCAAAAAUGGGACCCGAAGAGACCAGGCAAAACACAGAUGACAUAGUCUGCAACUGGGGAGUUCCAUUUAAAUAUACUGAUAAUGACAGAGCUCUCAUUAAAAAACUCGAAGGGGAGUGGGAUGCUAAGUGCAAAGCAUGGAGAAAAAGGAGACAAGGUCAUCCUGCCCUAUCGCAUAGCUACUGAAAUCAUUGAACACCUCCACCGCCUCACUCAUUUGAGCCGGAGAAAAAUGCACGCUCUACUUGCAAAUGAGAAAUGCCCGUUUAUAACUCCUGACCUGCAGUUUCUUACUCAAAUUACAGUGGACCAAUGCAAGCCUUGUGCCCAGGUAAACGCAGGGCGACUAAAACUCCCCCAAGGAGCCCGUGCCCGAGGACACCGACCGGGAAUACAAUGGGAAAUAGACUUUACUGAAGUAAAACCGGGACUGUAUGGUUAUAAAUAUCUCUUAGUUUUUGUAGACACCUUUUCAGGCUGGGUAGAAGCCUACCCCACGAAGAAUGAAACGGCCACGACAGUCGUUAAAAAAACUCCUUGAAGAAAUUUUUCCCCGGUACGGAUUGCCGCAAGUAUUAGGGUCAGAUAACGGUCCCGCUUUCGCCUCCCAGGCGCAUCUCCAGGCUCUCAGAGCAGUGAGAGAGUACAUCUGGAAACCGCUUGCAGAGGCCUACAAGGACAAAGACAUUCCACCGUGCCCUCACCCGUUCAAGGAAGGAGAC